rnacentral:rRNA from 1 species
GGCGAACGGUCGCGUAACACGUAAGCAACCUGCCCCGAAGACCGGGACAACAUUCCGAAAGGAGUGCUAAUACCGGAUGUGGCCAUUUUUGGACAUCCAGAGAUGAUUAAAGCCUGUACAAGGGCUUCGGGAGGGGCUUGCGGCCUAUCAGCUAGAUGGUGGGGUAACGGCCUACCAUGGCGACGACGGGUAGCGGGUCUGAGAGGACGAUCCGCCGGACUGGGACUGAGAUACGGCCCAGACUCCUACGGGGGGCAGCAAUUAGGAAUCUUGCACAAUGGGGGCAACCCUGAUGCAGCGACGCCGCGUGAGGGAGGAAGUCCUUCGGGAUGUAAACCUCUUUUAUCGGGGAAGAAACAAAUGACGGUACCCGAUGAAUAAGCUCCGGCUAACUACGUGCCAGCCGCCG